rnacentral:rRNA from 1 species
UGGCUCACGGGUGCGUCAUCCAUCGGAACGUGUCCUGGUAGUGGGGGAUCGCCCGGCUAAAGCCGGAUUAAUACCGCAUACGCUCUGUGGAGGAAAGCGGGGGAUCUUUCGGGACCUCGCGCUCAAGGGGCGGCCGAUGGCAGAUUAGGUAGUUGGUGGGGUAAAGGCCUACCAAGCCGACGAUCUGUAGCUGGUCUGAGAGGACGACCAGCCACACUGGGACUGAGACACGGCCCAGACUCCUACGGGAGGCAGCAGUGGGGAAUUUUGGACAAUGGGCGCAAGCCUGAUCCAGCAAUGCCGCGUGUGUGAAGAAGGCCUUCGGGUUGUAAAGCACUUUUGUCCGGAAAGAAAACCUCUGGGUUAAUACCCCGGGGGGAUGACGGUACCGGAAGAAUAAGCACCGGCUAACUACGUGCCAGCAGCCGCGGUAAUACGUAGGGUGCGAGCGUUAAUCGGAAUUACUGGGCGUAAAGCGUGCGCAGGCGGUGAUGUAAGACCGAUGUGAAAUCCCCGGGCUUAACCUGGGAACUGCAUUGGUGACUGCAUCGCUCGAGUAUGGCAGAGGGGGGUAGAAUCCACGUGUAGCAGUGAAAUGCGUAGAGAUGUGGAGGAAUACCGAUGGCGAAGGCA